rnacentral:tRNA from 1 species
UUUAAAAUAAGCUAAAAAAAGCUUUUGGGUUCAUACCCCAACUAUAAAGAAAAUUCCUUUUUUUAAAA